rnacentral:rRNA from 1 species
UACGGGGGGAGCAAGCGUUGUUCGGAUUUACUGGGCGUAAAGGGCGCGUAGGCGGUCAGCACAAGUCAGUUGUGAAAUCUCCGGGCUUAACUCGGAAAGGUCAACUGAUACUGUGCGACUAGAGUGCAGAAGGGGCAACUGGAAUUCUCGGUGUAGCGGUGAAAUGCGUAGAUAUCGAGAGGAACACCUGCGGCGAAGGCGGGUUGCUGGGCUGAGCACGUGA